GUGACCUGCGGAGGGAUCAUUACUGAGCGAGGGCCUCUGGGCCCGACCUCCAACCCUUUGCUGUGACCCCACUUGUUGCCUCGGGGACGACCCGGACGCCGACGCGUCGGCGUUGGGCACCUCGACGGACCAAUCUAACUCUGUGUUCGUGCGUCGGAGUACUUUGCGAAUCAAUCAAAACUUUCAACAACGGAUCUCUUGGUUCUGGCRUCGAUGAAGAACGCAGCGAAAUGCGMUAAGUAAUGUGAAUUGCAGAAUUCAGUGAAUCAUCGAAUCUUUGAACGCACRUCGCGCCCUUUGGCAUUCCGAAGGGCAUGCCUGUUCGAGCGUCAUUACACCACUCAAGCCUGGCUUGGUAUUGGGCGGCGGGGUCCCCGCGCCUUAAUUUCGUCGGCUGGACAGUCUGUAUCUCAGCGUUGUGGUAUUAAAUCCGCUGGCGAGAAGGAUAGUCCGCGCCGUUAAAAAAUCCAUCGAGGUUGACCUCGGAUCAGGUAGGGAUACCCGCUGAACUUAA
rnacentral:rRNA from 1 species